AUUGUGCAUUUUUAAGUAGAUAUAUGGAAAUCCUGGAGCAUUCUUAGUGGGUAUAUUGUGUAUACCUGCGUAUCACGUAGACUACACCACUGGUUUAUUGACCAUAAAU